GUCCAGACCCUCGCAAAAGCUCUACUCAGAAAAUUUGUUCAAUUAUAUAAGAGAUUCCGCUAUGGUAAUUGGUACAUACUUUCAGCGAGCAACCUAGCUAAUUGUGAUCGACCCACUUCAGAAAAUCUGCCAUGGGCGAGAAAGAACAGGCUAAGCCUUUGGCUCCGGCAUCCCACAGGAUCCACGUAGAGGAAGGAGCUGAAGCUCAGUCCAUGGAGACUAAAAAGUACAACAGGAGGAGGUGCAUCAAAUGCUGUGGCAUCUCUACCGCCCUCAUAUUGAUUCUAGCUGCGACCAUGUUGGUGCUUGCUUUCACCGUAUUUCGCGUUAAAAAACCCGUUUUGAAGAUGAACUCCGUCAAGGUCGAAGGAUUGGAUGUUGCUAUGGAGGCAAAUUUUCGUCUGGGGACAAACGUGACACUUGUAGCAGAUGUCUCGAUGAAAAAUCCGAACGUGGCCUCCUUCAAGUUAGAUAAUUCGACGACUUAUCUUUUCUAUGGUGGCAAGAUGGUUGGGGAAGCCAAGACUCCGCCGGGGCAUGCCAGGGCGAGGCGGACGAUGCAUAUGAAUAUCACGGUGGAUAUUCUGGCAGAUCAACUGCUGGAUGUGCACCGGCUGUGGAGUGAUCUGCAAGCAGGGGCUUUGCCUAUGGGUAGCUACACAAGAAUAAGUGGUAAAGUCAACAUUUUAAACAUCAUUAAGAAGCACGUUGUUGUGAGAAUGAAUUGCACUAUGACUGUUGAUAUCCACAGCCAGUCCAUGAGGGAUCAGGACUGCAAGAAACAUGUUUCCUUCUAGAUUGAGUACCGGUUAAUUAAUUAGGAUUUUAUAUUUAUAUUUUUGAGGGUGUAUGGUUUUGAGAAUUAAUUUGGUAGAAUCCUAAAGAUAGAUAGAUCAUUCCAUGCUUGCAUCAAGCGAUGGAAUGAAGAAUAUGCAUUCCGUCAUGUAAAAUUCAAAAAUUGAGAGCAUUCUGGUCAAGAAUUUGUAUGUUUAUCUUAUCCGUGCAAAUAUGCAUGUACAAAACUUUAACACAUAGCUUAUGAUAUCAAUAAUGGUUACUUGAGUAUUUUUUUGAUACUAUCAUAUUCUUGACUGGUUAGAGACUUUGUACGACUACUAGCUAUGGCCGAUGCAGAAUACUUUUUUUCUUUUUUCUUUUUUUCUAGAAGUGAUAAAUGUUGUAUAAUCUAAUCUAUUCUACACUAAGGGAGGGGACAGACCUAAGAAAGCCCAAGAGUAAUCUGGAGAGGACUAAACCACCACUAGAUCAAACAGAUCCACUAUGCAUCCGCUUGAAUUUUUUAAACAAAAUUACUUUUUAAUAUGGCAAUUGGUGAGAGGCAAGAAUACACUAUAUAUCAAACUUUAAUGCUUUGGUGGUGGCUACCGAUCCAAAGGAUGGUGGUUGCCUAUGCCGACUCCAUUAAAAGCCUUUUCGUUAAUUUUUUGUCCAACGUGAAUAUAGUCUCUUGCAAAUUGAAAUAAAAUUUUACCUGCCGACUAAUCUAAAUUACCCGAUUUCAUAGUGGGUUGAAUAAAAUUCUUAGGCCUAUUGGGUUGGGUGCCAGACCAAGUCAACAAGCAGCCAUUAUCCUCCUGGGACGACACGAAAUUGAUCGUGGAACAACUUACUAGUCACUGGUCUAGAGUCCAGACAUAGACUAGCCCAAUUCGGGUGGUAAAAUAGUUCGAUUGUGUUGAUACAUGGACUGUAGGUUUAAUAACACUACGCGAGGCCACCUAAUAACGCAUAUACGUAUUAUUGGGCUUUUCGCAAAGAAUGGGAAAUGUACUCUUCAAUCAAAAUAGUAGUUCAGUCUAGAAGCACCCAAAUGUAAAAGAUUUAAGGGUUAAAAAUAAAAAAGCCCCCUGUGAUAAGCCUAAUACACAGAAAAGCCCCCCAUGGUUUCAAAAUAUACAACACGACCCCUCAUGCUUUGAACUAAAUUGUAAAGGUGACGGAAUCCGUUAAACUUAACGGAAAUGACUUAUUGGAAUCUAAAAAAAAAAUUUUAUACCUAAUUUUUAUCAAAUAUACCUGUUCUACCCCUUAACUCUCAAUUCUCUCUACUUAAAAAAUAAAACAAAUGAUUUUUUUGAGCUGUCUUUUGUUUAAUUAUGUAAGGGUAUUUUGGUCAUUUGGACAAUUUCCGUUAAGUUUAACGGAUUCCGUCACCUUUACAAUUUAGUUCAAAGCAUGAGGGGUCGUGUUGUAUAUUUUGAAACCAUGGGGGGCUUUUCUGUAUAUUAGGCUUAUCACAGGGGGGUUUUUUGUUUUUAACCCAAGAUUUAAUUAUUGAAAGAAAUGCGCUGGUUUGUUUGGAUAGAGGUUUAUUUGCCAAAAUUUAUUUGUUUACAUCACCAUUACAAUUUCCAACACACCUUUUUAUCUUCCCAAUUACCUUUUUAUCUCACAUACAUCACAUCACAAAAAGUGCUACAGUAAAAAUAUCUCAAAUAAUUUACAAUCCAAACAGAUAACUGAGUUUGCAGCUUCUUCGUGUUUCCCAAUUUUAACUCCAUUUGGAUUAGUUGUUUUUAGGGGUGUUUUUGAAAAACUUUGCUGUAGCAGAGUUUUUAGAGUAUAUUUUAAAAUAUUUUUAGAAAAUAUUUUGAAAUAUUUUUUAUUGGCACUUUAUUAUGAGAUAUUUGGUAAAAUUUUAAAAAAAUUUAAACUAAUUUUUAGAUUAUCUUUUAGAGUACUUUGUUGUAACUUUUAUUAUUUUUGAAAAACUAGUUUUUAAAAAACACUCCAAAAACAGGAGAUCCAAACAGAAAACAUAUCGAGAAGAUGAAAAAAAAAGGGUUUGAAGGUGGCUCCUAAAAAAAGGCACGCGAGGUUUCCCAAAUUAGAAACUGCACUAUUUAUGGCCAUAUAUUACAAGGAACAGUUUCAUGAAUCUGAGCGAGGUUUAUGCUCAAAACUAUAAUAAUCCUUCAAGUUUUCUUUUCGCUGCUUUUAUGAUCUUAUAUCAACUACAGCUUCACACUUUUCUUGGACAUGAUUAUAUAUAUACAUCCCUUCCAUGCAUGAACUUGCAAGGUUUUUCCCUCCCGAAGGGCAUAUGGAACACUUUUGUCUUUGGGUGGCGGAUUUGUACUUUUAUGAUCAGCUCCUACAGUUUUGACUUUUGAGACCUGAAUUUUUUUUCAUUUCAACCAUAAUAUUUGUAUAAUCUACUUUAAUUUAGUCUAAGGGAAAAGGGAGUCGACGAAAAAAUUGUCGGAGUCCCACCCCCACCAAGAUUUAAAUGUCUUGGUGGUACCAACAGCCCAAGAAGUUUGGGCCAUGAUUCAUCAAAUCUGUUUAGAACAUUCUGUGUAAAUUUUUUUUGUCAAAAAAAAAGAAAAUAAAGUCAAAUACUCAUAGAAUUAAUUAAAAGUGGAAAAUAUGCUAAAUUUUGACAUUAAGACUUUAGAAAAGUGCAUUUGUAUGCCCGACCUGGAUCCCGAUUCACACGAGAUUUUCAGUGUCACUUUUUCAGUAGUAAUUCAGUGUCACUUUUAUAUUUAUAUCAAUUGUGUCUUAUUUAUUUAAUUUAUCAUGUGUUAUUUAUUUAAAUUUCUUCUAUCAUCACGUGAUAAGUGCGAUUGACACUGAAUUUAAUGCUGAAUAGUGACAUAGAGGAUCCCAACUGAUCCUUGGCCCGCAGAAACCCUCCCCCAACACUCGCGCACCAACAAGGCAAAAUACCACUCCCAUCAAUUCAGUGCUCUGAGCUCUGCUGUCUGCUCUUCUUAGGUUCCUUUCGGCUUUUCGUGUCAUAUGGGUUUCGUCAAGUAGGUGAAUAAACUCGCUUGAAUUUACGUACCACAUCUUUUGGAAGAGAUUUUAACCAAGUACUACAUCCAUAUUGAUUUGACCAGGCAAAAUUUCUCUUGCCCUUCUAUUUUUAUUUUUUUUAUCAUUUGUUUUCUUGAUAAAGUUCGACUUGUCAAUCGGGUCCAAUGAGUCGGCUUUCAUAAGAUCGAAUUCAACUCAUUUAAUUUGUAAUAUUUUUGGAUUUCGAAAUAUGAUUUUUAGAUUAAUAAAUGUGAAACUCAUACUCAACUUACGUAAUAUUUGGAUUGCGAGUCUUAUUCGAGUUUAGUUCAAACUCACUUAUUACUCAUUAAUUUUCUUAAUAUAAUUACUAUAACUAUUAAGUUGUAAAAUUAAUUUAAUAUUUACAAGACUACAACAUUAAAACUAAACAUGAACAAGUAAUAGUUUUUAAAAGGUAUAUAAAUCAAAAAAAUUUCAACAAUAUUUAUAUUUAAUUCAUUCAAAAUACAUGAAAAAUAGUAAUAAAACAUGCGGUCAUAAACCAAUACAUUUUCGAAUGUUGGACUUUUUUGUAACCUUGUGAUUUGAAUUCAAACAUGUUUGAUGAUUUGUGUUUCUAGACCAAAAAAAAAAUCAACCAAUAUUAUGCUAACACAAAAAUUUACUCAAACAAUAAGAAAAGUUAGAUAUUCAAUUAUGCAUUACUAAUAUUGGGUCUCAAGAAAAGUUAGUAGAAGAGUUUUCAGAUAUAUAUUUGUGUUUUAUAAUUUAUAUAUAUUUAGUAUUAAGUAAUAAUAUAUUUUGAUAUAUAAUUAUACAUAAUAUCAAAAUAUAAAUAUUAUAUAUAUAUAGGUAAUUAAAAGGUCGGACCUAUAUUGGGUUUGAAUCUAAUGAAAUUCAAACUUAACUCAUAUUUAAUUCGAACUUAAUUUUUAGACUCAAAUUUAGACAGACUCAAUAAAAGGUCGGACUUAUCGGACUUUUUCUCAAGCCAAACGAGUCGAGAUCAGAUUGAUUUGAUUCCAUUGACAGUCCUAGAUAAAGUGAAUUGAAAUCAAGGUCCUUCAGUGGUAAUAACUCACUUUUGAAUCAAGGGCCUUCAACUUCAAGCUGAUUAUUCUUUAUGAUCUAAUCCGAGUCCCUACCUUUCCGGUCCUUGAACAAUUGCAUUAAUAUAUAAACGGUCAAGUAGACAGGUGGAUAGUUAAGUCCCCAAGUUUAUCUCAAGAGUUAUCAGCUUUUAGGGUUAAAUUUGAGAUUAAGUUUAAUUAACUAACUUCAAAAAUCUGAUAAAAAUAAAAAUAAACGGAUGGAUAAAGCUACAUUGCUACUACAAUAAUGCCAGACUACAGUAGCGAAUAUCAAAGCUUUCUCACUGCUUUAGUAGCCCCAAACCAAAUCCCGCCACAAGGAGACAAAUUGAAUCUCCCACGUACAUUUCAUCAAGAUAGGAAUAGGGAAGUAUCAACAUCAAGUAUCUUCACGAGUUCCAAUAGGAAUGGAGUCCUGUCGCGGACCAUGCUUAGUAAAUAUGGGAAAUGGUAGAGCCUUUUAAGGAACUGAACAACCUAGGUUGGUUUGUUUGGAUAGUGGAUUAUUUGUCAAAUUUUAUUUGUUUAUAUCAUCAUUACAAUUUUUAACACAUCUUUUUAUCUUCCUAAUUACUUUUUUAUCUUACAUACAUCACAUCACAAAAAGUAUUAUAGUAAAAAUAUCUCAAAUAAUAUACAAUACAAACAGAGCCAAUUUGGACUCGUUUGAAUUCGAAAAAAGUUUAAUUAUUUAAUAAAUGAAUCAAAUUUAAAUAUAAUACGAGACUUAUUUAAUAAUUACGUCUAAUACGAAUUUACUCGAAUAGUUCAUGAAUACAUAUAUAAAUAUAUUAAAUGUAUAUUAUAUUUUACUAAAAAGGAGUAAUUGUACAUAAAUUAGCCUAAUAUUAUUUGUUUUUUUAAAUCAAGAAACACAAUUAAGCUUAUUCUAAAUAAUGCAUUAUAUAUUAAAAAUAUAAUUAAAUUAUCUCCGAAUUCAAAUUCAAUCUUGAGCUCAAGUUUGAAUUUGGCUCAUUUAAUUUAAUUAGUCGAUUUCGAAUUCGAACUCAAGUAUUUGUACAAAUAAGUGAAUCAAAUUCAAGCAAUUUAAUAUUCGAAUCGGACUUAAACCCUAUUCGUAUAAUAGUUAAAUAUUUUUAUUAUUUUAAAAUUAUUUUAUUUUUUUUGUUUACCAUUCAAUUCCAAUCCUCAUCCCGAUAAUUUUAAAGUAAUACGAUAAUGUUAGACUCUUCUUUAUUUUCUUUCUUUGCAAAACCUAAUUUUCUGUAUCUUUCUUUCCUAUCUCUUUUUCUUUUCCUAAUAUUAAUAAGUGUGAAAAAGGAAAUUUGAGAAAACCCCUUUAUUUUUAUGUUUUUGGAUCUUUUAAAGUGAAAAAAAGGAAGAAAAAUCACUCCAACUUUUUUAUUUUUAAUUAUAUAUAAAAAAAGGUAAAUACAUUUAAAAUUUUUUGACUAUACUAAUUAGAUUAACAAUGAGGCAAAAAUGCCAAGAAAAUAAUUUUAAGGAUUAAAGCCAUUGUAUCACUAUAAUUUAAAGAAUAAAAAUUGAAUUACUCGUGGGGGUUAAGUGAUUAAAAGAUAAAGUUAGGAGGUAAAGAGAUAAUAACCCUAACAAUAUAUCGUUUUGUUCUAAUUGCAGUGGCUUGUCUCUGUACAAAGGGAAUAUUACAAUUGACUUCAAAGACUUCUAGAAGAAAAAAAAGAUGGAAUAAUACGCCCAAAGAAAUUGAAUGUUUCUAGUCAAAAUUCAAUGCUCAGAGUACGCAGUUAGGACCAAAUUCAAGAGUCUACGAAGAGUUUAGAUGGUCCAGACCCUCGCAAAAGCUCUACUCAGAAAAUAGUAAACUAAAUUUAUUCUUUCAAUAAAGUUAAAUAAUCCUUUGUUUAAGUUGUAUGAAACAAAUUAAACCUAUCAAAAUCAAAUGGAGAGAGUGUAUUAAAUAAGAAUAUAUUAAAAAAAAUUAAAAAUUAACUAUAUUUUUAAACUGGAACGUGAAUUAUAAUUUAAAAUAAAAAAAAAUAAGAUUAUCAAAAUGAAAUAAAGGGAAUGUUACAAUUGACUUAAAGACUUCUACAAGAAAGAAAGAUAGAAUAAUGCGCCCAAGAAAUUGAAUGUUUCUUUGACUUACAUGUGCGCGUAAACGUGUCGUCCAACUGCAUUGCCGGAGUCCAAAAGUUCUUCCAUUUUCCAAAAGUUUGCCGCAGUCAAAAGUCAAUGCUCAGAGCACGCGGUUGGGACGAAAUUGAAGAGUCUACCAAGAGUUAGAUGGUCCAGACCCUCGCAAAAGCUCUACUCAGAAAAUUUGUUCAAUUAUAUAAGAGAUUCAGUUAUGGUAAUUGGUACAUACUUUCAGCGAGCAACCUAGCUAAUUGUGAUCGACCCACUUCAGAAAAUCUGCCAUGGGCGAGAAAGAACAGGCUAAGCCUUUGGCUCCGGCAUCCCACAGGAUCCACGUAGAGGAAGGAGCUGAAGCUCAGUCCAUGGAGACUAAAAAGUACAACAGGAGGAGGUGCAUCAAAUGCUGUGGCAUCUCUACCGCCCUCAUAUUGAUUCUAGCUGCGACCAUGUUGGUGCUUGCUUUCACCGUAUUUCGCGUUAAAAAACCCGUUU
rnacentral:lncRNA from 1 species